rnacentral:rRNA from 1 species
GAUGAACGCUAGCGGCAGGCUUAACACAUGCAAGUCGUGGGGCAGCACAGGUAGCAAUACUGGGUGGCGACCGGCAAACGGGUGCGGAACACGUACGCAAUCUACCCUUGUCAGGGGAAUAGCCCGGAGAAAUCCGGAUUAACACCCCGUAAUAUAUUUGGAAGGCAUCUUUUGAAUAUUAAAACUACGGUGGACAGGGAUGAGCGUGCGUCCCAUUAGCUAGUUGGUAGGGUAACGGCCUACCAAGGCAACGAUGGGUAGCUGGUGUGA